UUUUCUCUCUCUGUGGAAUAAUUUUAACUUGUCUGGCUGUACUGACUGAGAUCUUCCUUGGUUGUGGCAAACUGAUCUUUGACCUGGAGAAGCAAACAAAUCUACUUCUAAAAAUACGAUAUUUGGGAUCUGUCCCAGGAAUAUCUUGGUGGAUAGGCCAAAUGAUCAAUCCUCAAGAUGGUCUUCAGAAAGCAAUUAUCCUCCCCAGCUUACAUUGGAAGUGUGAAGCAAUGAGGCUGGUGAUGCUGAAGACCACGGCCCUGUCAGAAAGGCUCAUCCUGAUGAUUCCAGUGAUGGUCUGACGUGGAAGACUGAAGAGCAUUUAAUUCCCCUGAGUGGCUUGAUUAAUAACAUGUAGAACAGAAGCAUAGAUUUUUAUUUAGCCACCAACUUAAUUGUAAAAGCAGUCAAGAUGUUUGUGUUGUGGACAAGGGCAGCCCUUGUUAUUUUGCUGUUUUGUGGGUUUUAUUUUUACAUGCGAUUCACUGUUCCCUAAUUAAAAAAAAAAAUGCCUGAGCAGAAUUGGUUAAAGAGAAAGAAAUUGAUAAACUGUACAGGCAGCUUGUGUAGUGCAGUUUGGAAUCUGGUUUAGCAUAUUUGAUCAGAGAAUCAAUUAAGUUGUAAUAGACCUCGGAGAUCAGAGUCCAACCUUUGACCAGUCACCACCUUCUCAGUGCCAGGGUCCGGUUAAAUGCCACAUCCAGUUGUUUCUUGGACACCUCCAGGGAUGGUGACUUGGCCACCAGCUCCCUGGGCAGUGCAUUCCGGUGUUGUGGAGGUGUGAAUUUUGAACAGUUGAAGAUGAUACACAUAACAUUAGUGGUGUUGUCUGAACAAUCGAUGUCAGUUUUGUAUCUGAAGACCAGUUUUCCUCUGACUCCCAUGCUGCUGUGUAGAUUGUAUCAGGAAUUAAUUUAAAGUACAUUAAUAAAAUUUACAUUCUGUUGUGUGAUGCAGCAGCCUUCAUAUGGUUGUCAUCAAAUGGUAGCACAGACCAGAGCUUCAAAAAAUUUGGGAAUUUGCUGCAGCUCCCAGUGUCACAAGACUGGACUUGCUCUUUUUUGGGAGUGCACUGUAAGCAGCUGUUUGGGUGCUGAAAUGUCAUAUGUGAGUUACUCUGCUCUUUGUGCAUAUUUACUUACAAAUGUGUUUAAUCAGAAUCCAGGAGUUUUCUUCUUCUAGUGUUUUGUAGCAUCUUUUUUGUUAGUGUUGUGAUUUGAGGCCUAACAACUGGGCUGAGUUUUUGCUCAGUUGUGCCAUUUAGUAUCUGUGUGCCAUGUUCUAAUGGACAAACACCUCAGUUGUAAUUUGGAUUUUUGGAAUAAUGCAUGAAUACAUAGACAUUAAAUGUACUGAUGUUGCUCACAGCAAUAAAAUGGAA